rnacentral:rRNA from 1 species
UAGAGCGGCGACGGGUGAGUAACACGUGGACAAGUCUGCCCCCGGCCCGGGAUAGCCCAGGGAAACCUGGAUUAAUACCGGAUGAGACGGGACCCGCGAAGGCGGGACCCGGGAAAGGCGCUGCGGCGCCGCCGGGGGAUGAGUCUGCGUCCCAGUUAGCUAGACGGCGGGGUAACGGCCCACCGUGGCGACGAUGGGUAGCCGGCCUGAGAGGGUGGACGGCCACAUUGGAACUGAGACACGGUCCAGACUCCUACGGGAGGCAGCAGCUAAGAAUCUUCCGCAAUGGGCGAAAGCCUGACGGAGCGACGCCCGCGUGAACGAAGAAGGCCGUGAGGUUGUAAAGUUCUUUUCGGGAGGGGGAACAACCGUGGCAGGGAAUGGCCGCGGGAUGACGUGAAUCCCGGAAUAAGCCCCGGCUAACUACGUGCCAGCAGCGGC